rnacentral:lncRNA from 1 species
GAUGGUUGUUGGUUAUUUAUGGAGAUUGUUUGUGGUUUGUUAGUAUCCAUGGUCAAAGAAGAAACAAAAGAAAAGAAAUUAGAUUUAGGGAUCUUCCUAAUUCCUCUCACCCCUCUAUUGUUUCUUUCAUAUCUAGUGUUAGGAGGUAAAACCAGGGGAAAAGGUGGGAAUAAAAAGAACUCAAAGUAGCAAAGACUAGCCACCAGUAUCUACCACCAAUGCUCUUCAAUAUAUUCUGUAAGGAAUAAAAUCACCUCAGCCGAUUGGCAUUUCUGUUGACAUAUGGAGGUCAGCAGUGGGAUGUUCUGGCAUUGAGAAUUGCCAUGCACUGAUGGUUGCUGGUGCUGGGGAUUGUUAGCAUCUACAAUCUUCAUUGGUCCAUACAGAAUCUAUACAUGACUUAAAAUCUUACUAUGUUCCAAAGCUUGGAGCAAAAGGAAAUACAAACACUGAAAGUAUGAAACUCAAAAUACCAUAAAGAAAACAGCUAAAGAAGGAAUUGUAUUUCAUCUUGAUGUGAACUGAAAUGGACGUGGAUAUACCCUGGAGUCGGUUAUUAAUUCAGACAGAGGAGGCCACCAUCAACUGAUCUUUACAACUGAUCUUUGAAGGACGUGAGCGUGAAGCUAACUUUGGUUUUACUUGGCUAAAGUGUUUCAUUGACAAGAA